CCCCGGGGCCAGGCCGAACCCGCGGAGCCCGGCCAGAGGAGCCAGGAAAAAGGUUAGCCCGGUUGCUUGCUACAUACCACUGCAGUUUUUCUAACUCUUCCGGGGAGGAAGGCAGGAUAUCCUGACAGAACAGCAGCACUGUUCUGAAGGAGACAAAAGGAAAAGAAAGAAGAAAAUUCAAGAAUAAGGCAAGCCUAGAAGAAGCAGAGGGGGAGAGGAUGAUUUCCUUUGCACCCUGAAAAUUUGGCAAGUCAGCCAGGAGACCUAUUAAAAGACUGAAUGCUGCUUGUUUCCUAGGAUGUCUGCAGACGGCAUUGAUCUAGAUCUGAACAGCAAGCAAGGUGCAUUUCGCAGGCCCUGGUGAGUGUCUCCUGCUGUCAGCCUUGGAUUCCUGCCUGCUACCUCUGGCUGCUACGCACUCUAGGCCCCCCAAUGGCGGGAAGAUGCCACUUUGGGAGCGUGGUCUUUGUUUGGAAUAUGUGUUCCAGAUCUUCAGUGGUGGGAAGAUGCCAUCUUGGAUGCCAUUUUGGUUAGGACAUCUGAACACCGGACACUUAUCUGGGUGCAUAGAAGAAGCAUCCACAGAAGAAGUUUGCUAUUAUUUUUAUUGGCAUGACUGUGUUCCAUAACAUAACAAGUGGUGGGUCACACAGCCACUUCAUCUCAUUUAAGUCUGUACACGCACAGGAGCCAUUCAACAAAGCAGAAACCAAAGAAUGUAGAGGAAUUCCUCCUUCCCCCUCUGGAAAAAUAAUAAGAUCCAAAAAUCUCAUGUUGGAGAUAUUUUAAAAGAACAUUGAAGAGCUUAUCCAAGUUAUAUUGUCUCUCCAUUUUCUAAACAGUUUUGAACUUAUGAAUAGCAAUAAUGUGCUGCAUGUGGAGGUCACUUGCUGGAAGGAGAGGCCGUGAAACUUUGAAAGACUUGCUGGAGACAGUGGGAGAGAGAACGUGAUCAGCGUGGGACUGCGGAGUCGAAGGCUUGACAUUCUGGGUUCAAAGAGCCGGGGAGGGUGCCCCACGGUCUAGCCUAGUCACCUUUCUGCAUCAGCGUGAAGGGACUGACUCUCUGACUUUCAUCAAAAGUGAUAAACACCACCUCUCUCCAAAGCAAAACAGCGUGGGAGAAUGAGCUUACUCAAAUGAAACAGAAGAGCCUGACUACUGAAGAAUGGUCAAAUUGGCUUGGAUCAGUUAACUGAAUCCUUCCCAAAUUCACCAAUCAAUUCUGGAAGCAGUAAUCCAAGAUCAAGACCCUGGCAGAUUCAGAGUUGGGGGAGGGCCUGUUCCUGGUUCAGAGAUGGCCAUCUUCGCACUGUGUCUUCACAUGGCUAAAGAGAUGUGUUGAGAAGGCUUUGGUGAAUUCUAGAUUGCCUCUGAGUAGUUUAUCCUUCAUCACAAGGACCCCAGGAAGAGGCAGGAAGCUACUCCACCAGGGAACAGCUUUUCUCCCCCUGCGUGACCACUUGGACUAUUUCCACAAAGGAGGCCAGACAACUCUCACAAAUGAGGUAUAAGACAAAGUUCCUAGGAGAGUCAACUAUUUCCUCCCUCCUUCCU